rnacentral:lncRNA from 1 species
AUCUGCAGAAUUCUCAGGAGGGAAGAGAAGUUGAGCCAUAACCUCCUAACCUCUGCGGCACACCCUCGGCCAGCAACCUCAUUCUCCUUCUGGCAUUUGGAGGGCUCUGUGGAUCCCUUGCCCUCAGAAAUGCUAUCAACAUAAUGAAAGUUGAGAUGAAAAUUAAUCAUUUGCUGAGCUUCCUCCUGCAUCUGUUUUAAAACCUUCUGAGGGUGAGAGGAAUCUGUAGAACCUUGGAAGGCUGUGCUGGGAUUCCCACUGACUAUACUGGGAAAUCUGAGGUGAUCCAUUCGAAGCAGUUAUUAGGAAGAAAUGAGAUGACACUGUUUCUCAGCAUUUGAGAUCAAGAACCUCAGAUUGGAACAGGGCCAGCACUUUAGUAGCUGAAAGCAGUCUGUGCAUUCAUUUGAAAUGAAGGAUGGGAAGUUCCCUGAAAAGGUUUAAAGUCUUAAUUCAAUUGAUAUUGGCACAAUAAACUCUAGGACACAUCCAAAUCCAUUACGAAGACUCCUCAUGCCAGCAGAUUUGCAAAACUAGAUGUGGAAUUGCAUCAAGUUCUUUCUGCUCUAUGUUUUAAGAGACACACUCAAGAGUUUCAUGCAGACCUGUCAUCACAUUCUGGCUCUCUCAUUUUCCUGGAAAGUUGGGCAAGCUACUUCAAAUUUUGGAGUCUCAUUUUCCUCAUCUGUGGAAUGAAUGUCAUAAUACAUAUUCACUGACUUAACAUGAGGACGGCAUGUGUUAAUAAUAAACCUAAUCUUGUGACCA